GUCCACUUUGUAUCUCUUCAUGCAAGACAAUUAGCUGGGCAAGAACCAAGCAUGCAUUGAUGGAUCAACACUCCCCUCUUCAGUAUACAACACAACACCUUCAGGAUUGCUCUUAUUUUUAUAGUUGGAGACUGCCAAGAAUGCACUAAAGUUACUUUUCUUUUUCUCUUUUUGGUCCAUAACAAUGGUGGAUAGAAAAA
rnacentral:lncRNA from 1 species